GAGUUACUCCCUCCGUUCGGAAUUACUUGUCGUAGAAAUGGAUGUAUCUAGAUGUAUUUUAGUUCUAGAUACAUCCAUUUCCGAGACAAGUAAUUCCGAACGGAGGGAGUAGCUG
rnacentral:pre_miRNA from 1 species